GUUACAUUUAAACAUCAAAAGUUAAUGAGUUGUAUGUUUUAAUAUUUCUUUUGAGUCAAUAAAGCAUUUAAACUAAAGUAGUAGAUGUUUUAAGAAGUUCUGUUGUUAUUUUUACUUGUUUAGAAAGUAUACCAUACCAUGUAUUUGCCACAGCAUUAUCACAUUUGGGAUUUAACUUUUAAGUUUAGUUUGUCCAUUAACAUUACAAAGUAUUUGUAGCGCACAUCAGUGCCACUUUGGACUUACCUGUGAAUUCUUCAGGAACUAUUUUCUGCAAUAACUUUCAGUCAGAAUUUUGUAUCUUUUACUCACUUCAGCCAAUUGUACCACCUCUUAUGCCAGUGAAUUGCUUUCUCAAAGUCUUAAAAACAUGUUACUUAGCUCAUGUUUAUCUUCGCAUCAGAAGAUUUUUGUGACUGUAUAUUUUAAGUAUGUUAGACUUUUCUACCUUAAUUGAUUUCUGUCACCUCACUAAUAAGUUGCAAUCUCUCUCACUUUGCUUGAACGUUGUAGCAAUAACUGUGUUUCACUGUACCAGACUGUUACUUCUACAUAGCUAAACAGAGCUCUGCAGAUCAAGACUAUACUUUUAGGGAUGUGAGUGCUUAAAAGGCCAGCUAAAUUCUAUUAUUGUAUUACUACUGCAACAUGAUGGUGUCAAACAGGGAAGGGAAAAUUAGUAGGGACUGUAUUUGAGCUUAAGCAACAGCAGUAUUAGGUCAGGUAUUUUUGAGUCUUGGCUUCAGGUUUUUAAUUGGCUAAUGCUUCUAUUCCAGCUACACUUCAGACUUUAAAACAUACAAUAGAGGAAAAUCUUAGGCAUAUAAAACAAAUGUGGCAUAUAAAACAAAAUUGGAGAAACUGUUUCUUUUUUUACAAAUAUAAGGUGUGUUGCUUCUUGAAACAAAAAUACUUUGUAGUCAUUACUAGCCAAAACUAUUAAAAUCUGUGUGUUGUUUUUUUCUGUUCCCUUUGCCUCCUGCUCUUAAAUUUUAAAUUUCAGCUUAAUGGCAUGCCCUCUGUUCAGACUGUGCUCCUUCUGAUGGGUUCUCUUCCUCCUUGUUCUGUUUGGGACCUUCCUUUGUUGAUGCCAUUUUGUAAUAUUUAAAAUGGGUACAGUAUUGUAUUGCAUGUUAUGGUAUGUCAUAGUUAUGAACUUUAUCUUUGCGUAAGCCUCUACCUCUUUUUCAUUUGUCUGUCUUUACAGUUGCAGUAAACAAAAAGCAUCACCUUAGUGGAUUUUAGUUAUUUAUCUUAGUUAUCUUUCUGCAUGACGCCCUGCACACACACAUUUGAUACUUUAUGCUUUUUCUGCAAGUACAGCUUCCCAAUGAAAAGGGCUUUGUUAGGAUAUAUACUGAUUUAUCUUCUGUUUCCACAUCAGUAUUUCUGCCACUCAGAUAUGCUUUCUUUUACUUUCAGAAUUUUUUCACUCUGUUCUUGGUAUAUUUAACAACAAUAAAAACAGUAGAGUCUCUUUUAAUUCUUUUAAGUGUUUGUUAUAAUGAAGAAAAUUGUCAAUAACUAGUAACUUUUAUUGGCUGCUCACUAAUUAAUUUUACAGUCUUGUUAUAUUUCUGUAAUGGUUUCACAAUCUGGGUUUUUCAGUACAGGAAUCUCUACAAGCAAGUAUGCCAUUUCCUGAUGCUUCAAAAGCACAGGAGUCUAUAGGAGGCAGAUCACCAGAAUUUCAAAAUAUUUCACCUGUUAUUAGACUACAAGGUAUACCAGACACUUCUGAAUUAGCAGGAACCUUACCUCAGAAAUACAGAAGGAAACUCAUGUCAGAUGAAGAGAUGGAAUAUAUUCAAGUAAGCUUCAUUUACUGCGUGGAGGUCCAGAAUAAGUAUGGAAGACGACUUGUUUGCCACUAUUGAAGAAUGAAAUAUACAAUCAUAAUACGCCUUUAUUGUGAAUAUUAUUAGCUUUAAUAAAACCCUAUAUGAAGGGUGAGAAAGUUGACACAACACACUAUAUUAAUUUGUGAUUGAGAAAGCCAUCAACAGAAAAUAUAACUAGUAUUUGAUGUCCACACCAUUAAAAUAUUUUUUUUUCUAAUUAGCCAUUCGCAAACAUGCCAAUAGAACUGAGUUGUUUUCAUUAAAAAAAAAAAGAAGAUGUCUCAUCAGGAAUAAUUUUAUGGGCAGGAAAGGGACACUGAAGUAUUCUCAAAGAUUAUUAAGAGUGGUUGUUCUUAGUAGUUAUACAACUGAAUAUUGGAUCUAAGGUUGGGGAAAAAAAAAAAACACUGUUUCAGAAGAGAGCUCUUUGGGUUCAAUUACAGUUAGAAGUCCACAAUAUAACUGGUCUCUAGGCUUAAUCUGCAUUAAUAUGCAUAGUCCAUAGCUGCAGCCUUUCACAUGGCAGACAGAAAUGAGCCUAUGCAUCUCAGGCUGGUAGUAGCCAACAGCCUUAGCAUCAGUCAUGCUGCUUUCAGCCAAGGGGCCGUGUAGUGAUGUAACCUGUGGUAUUGGAAAGCAGCUGCGCGUUCCCCUCCCGAGCUGUACCCCAGCCUCCUCCGGCACUGGAGAUAACAGCGCGGGUUGCUUCAUCAGCCCUCUUCCCCCUCGUGCUUCCUACGAGUUACCGGGAGUUAGGGACAGUGCCAGGCGGGUAUCUGUGGGCGGGGCGGUGAGGGGUGGUGCCGCUGGCGGUUGCCAAGGGCGGGGCCUGGCGAGGUGGGGGUGUGCACGUGCGUGUGUACCCCCGCACCUCUUCUCCCUCCUUCCUCUUUCCCUCCAUCCUCCCGUCCUAGCAGUGGUGGGUACGUGGGCGCGCGCCAAGCGCUACGAGAAAAUUGACUUCUUGGGGGAGGGGCAGGUUGGUGUAUGUAGAGCUCCUCAGCUCUCUCUGGUCCGUCAGGUGUGAGGGUCUCCUCUGAGGGGUCAGCUGGGCCCGGCGGAUCUGGUGACGUGUCUCUUGUGACUGGAGGGGCACUGGCGGAGGGGAGUCUUCCGGCCCUAGGGCUGCCUGUAGCAGCGCGCAUUCUGGCGGCUUCUGCUAGGCCCAUGGCAUGGCGUGGCCCGGGCCGACCCUGUUUCGCCUUCCACACGCAGUGGUGAAGCCCUGCUGAGAGGCGGGGUGGUGAUACUGCGGUUAUAGGGUGAGAGGGUCGGUCUCGUGCGAGGGAGGUGGUUGGGGAAGGCAGAUUGUUCCCCACCACUGUGCUGAACCAGAAUUUCAUGGGCUCUUCCUGAUUGAAGGUCCUGGUGCGGGCACCUCUCUAGCCCGAGGAGCUGGGUUCGGUGGUUCAGGGGCUGUGUUUGCUGUGCUAAUGUCCGAGCCUCUGACCAGGCUCUGCUGGCGUGCAACUUGCAUGCCCCUGUAGUCAUGGGAGCCUCUCUCCUUAGUUUGCUACUGUUUAUAAAGCAACCAAAUUGUUGCUAUUAAAAAGGUGUCAGAAUAUUUUCCCAUUGUGUGAUCAGGUGUAUAGUUGCUCUUGACCUGCCUAAUGAUUUUUUUGAGCUGGCUUAAUGGGUAAUAGGGCAAGAUUUUGUUUCUAGAGUUUUUUGUUUAAAUGAUUCAGUUAAGUUGUCUUUAAUAAUUUUUUUCAAGAAGAAAGACUAGCUUCAGUCCUACUACAUUUCUGAGUUUCUGAAGGAUUACCUGGUCUUGUAACUUGAAGUUUUGGUUAUUUGUUAAACAGAUGUAUGCUUACUUUUUGAAUCUUUUCUCCUGCCAUACCUUUUUGACAGAAUUUGACAAAAGUGAUCUUAGAUCUGCAAAUUAGCUGUUUGAAUAUGCGUUUAUAAAGUCUGUUUUCAUAAAGUGUUUUGCUUCAUACUAUAUGAAGAGAUUACAGAAAGUUUUUGUAUUAAAAAUAGAUUAUUAGUUGUGUAAUAAGUGAUGGUCAAAAUUGUUAAUGUUGAACAAAUCGAGUAGGAUUCAAUUGUAUUAUGCAUAUUGUUGUAAGCAGUAACUGCGCUUGUGCAAGUUUGAUUAUGUUUUGUAGAACCUUGUAGUAGUAGUUAAGCCAAUGCCUGGAUUGCCUGGAUGGUGCCACAGAUAACAGGACUCCCGGAUGGUGCCACAGAUAACAGAGCGCCCGGAUGGUGCAACAGAUAACAAAGUUCCAGAGAUGGAAAUUCCCAGCGUGUAAAUGAGCUUAUAACAUAUAUAAGCACACACGAAAAGUUGAGUGGUGUGCCUGUUGGCGGAACUGAGCUUCCCCCGGUCACCCAGCGCUGUUUUGCCUAAUUACCGCUUGCUAAAUAAAAUCGAUUGAUUGGCUCAAAAUCGAUUUAUUGGCUCUUAUUUAUAACAAAUUUUGGUGCCGUGACUCGGAUUAAGGAUCUCUGGGAGGGACUCCUAAACUUCAGGGAGGCGCCUCGUCCCGUUUUCAGACGGCCCUGGAGUGGACGGAGGAUCGCCCUGAAACCUUAACCUCCGAACCCUAAAUUUAGGUAAUUAGGCAAAAGAAUUGAACCCCGUAAACCUUUGUGCACGAAGAACCGGACGAAGACCCCGGGGAGGAUACCGCAGUCCGCACCGCGGAAAGAGGAUGGACACACGCUAGUCGAGUAAAAGGUCCUAUACUGCACACAGACUGGGAAGUCACUGGGAAACUGGAUGAGUUGAAGCUGACCUUCAAGAGGAAACAGACACGUGACGCAUAGCCCUGGAUACUAGGCUUUUUAUGGACAAUUGUAAGGAAUUACAUAAGUCGCACAUCGCAUGUCCUGUAUGUAAGCAAUGCAAUCCGUGGGUACGUUGCGUGUGUCACGGGUGCAGGAUACAGCAGUGAAAAAAGUUUCCUUAUGUUGAACGAUGGUGUAAUGAGUGUUGGGGAAAAACCUUAGAUACCAUUAGGAUAUUAAUAAUCACUGAUAAGUCCAGACAUAUGGGAAAUAACCAAGAGGAAGUGU